GAUCCGACACGACCUCAUCAUCUCUGUCAUCUGGUCAAGGCGCUGUAUGGACUGAAACAGGCUCCUCGUGCAUGGCAUGCUCGCCUUGGAUCCGUUCUUCGGGCUCUUGGGUUUACUCCAUCCACUGCUGAUACAUCACUGUUCCUCCUCCAGCGCCCUGAGGUUACGAUGUAUAUCCUGGUUUAUGUUGAUGAUAUCAUCCUUGUCAGUUCUUCGGCUGCUGCAGCUGAUCGCCUUGUGGUUGCUCUUCGUGAUGAUUUUGCUAUCAAGGAUUUGGGUGCUCUUCACUUUUUCCUUGGUCUUGAGGUUUCACGGUCCUCCGCAGGUUUGACUCUCACUCAGAAGAAGUACUCC
rnacentral:rRNA from 1 species